AUUGAACGCUGGCGGCAGGCCUAACACAUGCAAGUCGAGCGGAUGAAGGGAGCUUGCUCCUGGAUUCAGCGGCGGACGGGUGAGUAAUGCCUAGGAAUCUGCCUGGUAGUGGGGGAUAACGUCCGGAAACGGGCGCUAAUACCGCAUACGUCCUGAGGGAGAAAGUGGGGGAUCUUCGGACCUCACGCUAUCAGAUGAGCCUAGGUCGGAUUGGCUAGUUGGUGGGGUAAAGGCCUACCAAGGCGACGAUCCGUAACUGGUCUGAGAGGAUGAUCAGUCACACUGGAACUGAGACACGGUCCAGACUCCUACGGGAGGCAGCAGUGGGGAAUAUUGGGCAAUGGGCGAAAGCCUGAUCCAGCCAUGCCGCGUGUGUGAAGAAGGUCUUCGGAUUGUAAAGCACUUUAAGUUGGGAGGAAGGGCAGUAAGUUAAUACCUUGCUGUUUUGACGUUACCAACAGAAUAAGCACCGGCUAACUUCGUG
rnacentral:rRNA from 1 species